GACAGAGGGUGCAAACGUUGCUCGGAAUCACUGGGCGUAAAGCGCACGUAGGCGGAUUGCUAAGUCAGGGGUGAAAUCCUGGAGCUCAACUCCAGAACUGCCUUUGAUACUGGCGACCUUGAGUCCGGGAGAGGUGAGUGGAACUGGCGAAGUUGUAGAGGUGAAAUUCGUAGAUAUUCGCAAGAACACCAGUGGCGAAGGCGGCUCACUGG
rnacentral:rRNA from 1 species